UACGGGGGGGGGCAAGCGUUGUUCGGAAUUACUGGGCGUAAAGGGUUUGUAGGUGGCCCGCUAAGUCACACGUGAAAUCCCUCAGCUUAACUGGGGAACUGCGUCCGAUACUGGAUGGCUUGAAUUCGGGAGAGGGAUGCAGAAUUCCAGGUGUAGCGGUGAAAUGCGUAGAUAUCUGGAGGAAUACCGGUGGCGAAGGCGACAUCCUGGACCGAGAUUGACACUGAUGAGCGAAAGCCAGGGGAGCAAACGGG
rnacentral:rRNA from 1 species